GAUGAACGCUAGCUACAGGCUUAACACAUGCAAGUCGAGGGGCAGCAUUUCAGUUUGCUUGCAAACUGGAGAUGGCGACCGGCGCACGGGUGAGUAACACGUAUCCAACCUGCCGAUAACUCGGGGAUAGCCUUUCGAAAGAAAGAUUAAUACCCGAUGGUAUAAUCAGACCGCAUGGUCUUGUUAUUAAAGAAUUUCGGUUAUCGAUGGGGAUGCGUUCCAUUAGGCAGUUGGUGAGGUAACGGCUCACCAAACCUUCGAUGGAUAGGGGUUCUGAGAGGAAGGUCCCCCACAUUGGAACUGAGACACGGUCCAAACUCCUACGGGAGGCAGCAGUGAGGAAUAUUGGUCAAUGGGCGCAGGCCUGAACCAGCCAAGUAGCGUGAAGGAUGACUGCCCUAUGGGUUGUAAACUUCUUUUAUAUGGGAAUAAAGUUUUCCACGUGUGGAAUUUUGUAUGUACCAUAUGAAUAAGGAUCGGCUAACUCCGUGCCAGCAGCCGCGGUAAUACGGAGGAUCCGAGCGUUAUCCGGAUUUAUUGGGUUUAAAGGGAGCGUAGGUGGACAGUUAAGUCAGUUGUGAAAGUUUGCGGCUCAACCGUAAAAUUGCAGUUGAUACUGGCUGUCUUGAGUACAGUAGAGGUGGGCGGAAUUCGUGGUGUAGCGGUGAAAUGCUUAGAUAUCACGAAGAACUCCGAUUGCGAAGGCAGCUCACUGGACUGCAACUGACACUGAUGCUCGAAAGUGUGGGUAUCAAACAGGAUUAGAUACCCUGGUAGUCCACACAGUAAACGAUGAAUACUCGCUGUUUGCGAUAUACAGUAAGCGGCCAAGCGAAAGCAUUAAGUAUUCCACCUGGGGAGUACGCCGGCAACGGUGAAACUCAAAGGAAUUGACGGGGGCCCGCACAAGCGGAGGAACAUGUGGUUUAAUUCGAUGAUACGCGAGGAACCUUACCCGGGCUUAAAUUGCAUUUGAAUAUAUUGGAAACAGUAUAGCCGUAAGGCGAAUGUGAAGGUGCUGCAUGGUUGUCGUCAGCUCGUGCCGUGAGGUGUCGGCUUAAGUGCCAUAACGAGCGCAACCCUUAUCUUUAGUUACUAACAGGUCAUGCUGAGGACUCUAGAGAGACUGCCGUCGUAAGAUGUGAGGAAGGUGGGGAUGACGUCAAAUCAGCACGGCCCUUACGUCCGGGGCUACACACGUGUUACAAUGGGGGGUACAGAAGGCAGCUACCUGGUGACAGGAUGCUAAUCCCAAAAGCCUCUCUCAGUUCGGAUCGAAGUCUGCAACCCGACUUCGUGAAGCUGGAUUCGCUAGUAAUCGCGCAUCAGCCAUGGCGCGGUGAAUACGUUCCCGGGCCU
rnacentral:rRNA from 1 species